AAAAGCUAAAGGAGACGACUGUGCGACAACUCCUCUCUAAAUUUUGGUUUCUGCCGAAGCUUUGCCCCCGGUUGAUAACUAUCAGAUUCCACCUUCUCCAAUUUUGGAAGGAAUCAAAGAUUCAGCAGAUUUCUGUCCCAAGUUGAAGGAAAAGGUUGCUACAUCCAGAAGGCAUAGUAGAAGCAGCAGUAGUACCCAUAGUGACGUGCACUUCAAACGUCAAAAGAGGGACGAUGCUGAUCUUGGACCUAUUUACUUCAACCCUAAUGCCGACUUUGAUCUUGGCGGCAAUUUUCUUGGGGAUGUUCCUGGUCCUUCAAAACUCGUGCCUGCGCAUGUUGAGCUCGAAGAUAUCGGUUAUUUUGAUGAAGUCUGCUCAAGUGACGGCGUUCGAUUUCCUUUUGAGGAGUGUGUAGCUAACAUUUUCCCAGAUUAGGAUGUACAUCGAAAGGAGAGUGAACCAUAGCAAGUUGACCAGAGAGGUUUGUCCAUGGCUACGGGAAGUACAAAAUCUUCUGAAAAAGCAAUAUUUCCUGAAGCUUAUGUGUGCGAUAUUGAGGUAGCGGAUACAAGUCAAUGGCUUCGUGAUAUCCGCGUGCGAGCAGCUACGGAAGUUUGUGCAAAGAUAGAAGGUGUGAUAGCGACGUAUUCUCUAAAGAUGAUUAUUGCUUGGAGGAAUGAGCUUGAUAUGUUGACGAAUGAACUUAGCAAAUAUGGAGUCGACCUAUCAACAGUAAAAAAAAAUUGGAGCAGUUGAUGACAAGCGCUACCCUAUAUGACUCGGCAAGGCUUGCAUGCGCUCACAAAUGCGCCAUGGGCACCAGCGCCCAAAAAUUGGCAGAGACGGAGUCUGAAAUCACGACAGCCCAAGAAAUCCGACAAAAUAGUUUUGAUCGGCGU